UCCGUAGGGCGCAAGCGUUAUCCGGAAUUAUUGGGCGUAAAGAGCUCGUAGGCGGUUUGUCGCGUCUGCCGUGAAAGUCCGGGGCUCAACUCCGGAUCUGCGGUGGGUACGGGCAGACUAGAGUGAUGUAGGGGAGACUGGAAUUCCUGGUGUAGCGGUGAAAUGCGCAGAUAUCAGGAGGAACACCGAUGGCGAAGGCAGGUCUGUGGGCAUUAACUGACGCUGAGGAGCGAAAGCAUGGGGAGCGAACAGG
rnacentral:rRNA from 1 species